AAGACUUUCUUGAGCACAAGGUCCCUCGGAACACACGAGACUUGACCUUCUUGUCGAAUGCUUUCAUCACUCUCUGCUGAUAUAACUGACCAUGACACAUGGCAGUUGAUCUCUUUUUCUUUCAGCUGGAUUCAACAUCAGUCAACUUGGGACUUUGAGGGUGCUAUUUCUCUUUUGUUUUUUCUUUCUUUUUCUUUCUUUUGAUUUCUUUUGAUUUCUUUUGAUUUUGCACCCUCUCUUUCUUUGUUGUUUUUUUUUUUUUUUUUUU
rnacentral:lncRNA from 1 species